rnacentral:rRNA from 1 species
CAGCAUGCUACGGUGAAUACGUUCCCGGGUCUUGUACACACCGCCCGUCACACCACGAGAGUUUGUAACACCCGAAGCCGGUGGAGUAACCAUUUGGAGCUAGCCGUCGAAGGUGGGACAAAUGAUUGGGGUGAAGUCGUAACAAGGUAGCCGUAUCGGAAGGUGCGGCUGGAUCACCUCCUUUCUAAGGA